GGGUCAGUAGGUUGGUCGUGCCACCGGUACGUACUGGUCUCACUGAUUCCUCCUUCCUGAAGAACCGUAAUGCCAUUAAUUUGGUGUUGCGGGGAAACAGGACUGUUACUUUGAAAAAAUUAGAGUGUUUAAAGCAAGCUAACGCUUGAAUACAUUAGCAUGGAAUAAUGAAAUAGGACGAUCGAUCCUAUUUUGUUGGUUUCUAGGAUUGACGUAAUGAUUAAUGAUAGUUGGG
rnacentral:rRNA from 1 species